ensembl:misc_RNA 7SK 7SK RNA
GGACGUGAGGCCUAUCUAGCUGUAACAUCUGUCACCCUAUUGAUCGCCAAGGUUGAUCUGGCUGAUCUAGCUGGCUGGGCAGGUGUCCCCUUUCCCGCUCAUCACUCCAUGUACAUCCCUCCCAAAGCCGAACACUUGAAGAGGAUGACCGUCUCUGACAGAGGAGGACCAGUCUUCGGUCAAGGGUAUACCUCCAAACCUCCAAAUAAGUUCUCAAAACAGAGGAUUCAUGUAAAGUACUUAGCCAAGUACCCCACACAGUAUGUGAUAAACAAAUAUUAGAUCUUAUAAACA